rnacentral:rRNA from 1 species
UACGUAGGGCGCAAGCGUUAUCCGGAAUUAUUGGGCGUAAAGAGCUCGUAGGCGGUCUGUCGCGUCUGCUGUGAAAACUCAGGGCUUAACCCUGAGCUUGCAGCCGAUACGGGCAGGCUAGAGUUCGGUAGGGGAGACUGGAAUUCCUGGUGUAGCGGUGAAAUGCGCAGAUAUCAGGAGGAACACCGGCGGCCGAAGGCGGGUCUCUGGGCCGUAACUGACGCUGAGGAGCGAAAGCGUGGGGAGCGAACAGG